rnacentral:rRNA from 1 species
GGGUUGUGAGGUUAAGCGACUAAGCGUACACGGUGGAUGCCCUGGCAGUCAGAGGCGAUGAAGGACGUGCUAAUCUGCGAUAAGCGUCGGUGAGGUGAUAUGAACCGUUAUAACCGGCGAUUUCCGAAUGGGGAAACCCAGUGUGAUUCGUCACACUAUCAUUAACUGAAUCCAUAGGUUAAUGAGGCGAACCGGGGGAACUGAAACAUCUAAGUACCCCGAGGAAAAGAAAUCAA